rnacentral:rRNA from 1 species
AUUGAACGCUGGCGGCAUGCCUUACACAUGCAAGUCGAACGGCAGCACGGGAGCAAUCCUGGUGGCGAGUGGCGAACGGGUGAGUAAUAUAUCGGAACGUGCCCAGUCGUGGGGGAUAACGUAGCGAAAGCUACGCUAAUACCGCAUACGAUCUAUGGAUGAAAGCGGGGGAUCGCAAGACCUCGCGCGAUUGGAGCGGCCGAUAUCAGAUUAGGUAGUUGGUGAGGUAAAGGCUCACCAAGCCGACGAUCUGUAGCUGGUCUGAGAGGACGACCAGCCACACUGGGACUGAGACACGGCCCAGACUCCUACGGGAGGCAGCAGUGGGGAAUUUUGGGACAAUGGGCGCAAGCCUGAUCCAGCAAUGCCGCGUGCAGGAUGAAGGCCUU